UACGUAGGGUGCAAGCGUUGUCCGGAAUUAUUGGGCGUAAAGAGCUCGUAGGCGGCCUGUUGCGUCCGCUGUGAAAGCCCGGGGCUUAACCCCGGGUCGGCAGUGGAUACGGGCAGGCUAGAGGUAGGUAGGGGAGAAUGGAAUUCCCGGUGUAGCGGUGAAAUGCGCAGAUAUCGGGAGGAACACCGGUGGCGAAGGCGGUGCUCUGGGCCUUACCUGACGCUGAGGAGCGAAAGCGUGGGGAGCGAACAGG
rnacentral:rRNA from 1 species